CAGUAGCCGCGGGAAUACGUAGGGUGCAAGCGUUAAUCGGAAUUACUGGGCGUAAAGCGUGCGCAGGCGGUUAUAUAAGACAGAUGUGAAAUCCCUGGGCUCAACCUGGGAACUGCAUUUGUGACUGUAUAGCUAGAGUACGGCAGAGGGGGAUGGAAUUCCGCGUGUAGCAGUGAAAUGCGUAGAUAUGCGGAGGAACACCGAUGGCGAAGGCAAUCCCCUGGGCCUGUACUGACGCUCAUGCACGAAAGCGUGGGGAGCAAACAGGAUUAGAUACCCCUGUAGUCCCUGUCUCUUAUAA
rnacentral:rRNA from 1 species